rnacentral:rRNA from 1 species
CCUACGGGGGGCAGCAGUGGGGAAUAUUGCACAAUGGGGGAAACCCUGAUGCAGCGACGCCGCGUGAGCGAAGAAGUAUCUCGGUAUGUAAAGCUCUAUCAGCAGGGAAGAAGAUGACGGUACCUGACUAAGAAGCACCGGCUAAAUACGUGCCAGCAGCCGCGGUAAUACGUAUGGUGCAAGCGUUAUCCGGAUUUACUGGGUGUAAAGGGAGCGUAGACGGAGAAGCAAGUCUGGAGUGAAAGCCCGGGGCUCAACCCCGGGACUGCUUUGGAAACUGUUUUUCUUGAGUGCCGGAGAGGUAAGCGGAAUUCCUAGUGUAGCGGUGAAAUGCGUAGAUAUAUGGAAGAACACCAGUGGCGAAAGCGGCUCUCUGGUCUGUAACUGACGCUGAGGUUCGAAAGCGUGGGUAGCAAACAGGAUUAGAUACCCCUGUAGUC